ANCGGCGCGCUUAAUGCAUGCAAGUCGAGCGAUGAUGUCCCUUCGGGGGGCCAUCAGCGGCAGACGGGUGAGUAACACGUAGGUAACCUACCCCAGAGACAGGGAUAACCCUAGGAAACGAGGGCUAAUACCGGAUGACCUCCGGAAGGAGGAAAGGCUCAGGCGCUCUGGGAGGGGCUUGCGGCCCAUCAGCUAGUUGGUAGGGUAAAGGCCUACCAAGGCGAAGACGGGUAGGGGGUGUGAGAGCACGGCCCCCCACAAUGGGACUGAAACACGGCCCAUACUCCUACGGGAGGCAGCAGCAGGGAAUAUUGCACAAUAGGCAAAAGCCUGAUGCAGCGACGCCGCGUGAGUGAAGAAGGCCUUCGGGUCGUAAAGCUCUUUUGUAGGGGAAGAGGAAGGACGGUACCCUAAGAAGAAGCGUCGGCUAACUACGUGCCAGCAGCCGCGGUAAGACGUGGGACGCGAGCGUUAUCCGGAAUUACUGGGCGUAAAGGGCCUGCAGGCGGCUUGGUAAGUUGUGCGUGAAAGCCUCGUGCUCAACGCGAGGAAGCCGGACAAUACUGUCAAGCUAGAGGGCAUCAGAGGGGAGUGGAAUUCCCGGAGUAGCGGUAAAAUGCGCAGAUAUCGGGAGGAACACCGAUGGCGAAGGCAGCUCCCUGGGAUGCACCUGACGCUAAGAGGCGAAAGCUAGGGGAGCGAACAGGAUUAGAGACCCUGGUAGUCCUAGCUGUAAACGCUGGGUGCUAGGUGUGGGACGUAGAAGUUCCGUGCCGGAGCAAACGCGAUAAGCNACCCGUCUGGGAAUUACGGUCGCAAGGCUAAAACUCAAACGA
rnacentral:rRNA from 1 species